GAUGAACGCUGGCGGCGUGCCUAAUACAUGCAAGUCGAGCGAACGGACGAGAAGCUUGCUUCUCUGAUGUUAGCGGCGGACGGGCGAGUAACAAGUGGAUAACCUACCUAUAAGACUGGGAUAAAUUCGGGAAACCGGAGCCAACACCGGCCAAUAUUUUGAACCGCAUGGCUCAAAAGUGAAAGACGGACUUGCUGUCACUUAUAGAUGGAUCCGCGCUGCAUUAGCUAGUUGGUAAGGAAACGGCUUACCAAGGCAACGAUGCAUAGCCGACCUGACAGGGUGAUCGGCCACACUGGAACUGAGACACGGUCCAGACUCCUACGGGAGGCAGCAGUAGGGAAUCUUCGGCAAUGGGCGAAAGCCUGACGGAGCAACGCCGCGUGAGUGAUGAAGGUCUUCGGAUCGUAAAACUCUGUUAUUGGGGAAGAACAUAUGUGUAAGUAACUGUACACAUCUUGACGGUACCGAAUCAGAAAGCCACGGCUAACUACGUG
rnacentral:rRNA from 1 species